CCUACGGGUAGCAGCAGUGGGGAAUAUUGGACAAUGGGCGAAAGCCUGAUCCAGCCAUGCCGCGUGUGUGAAGAAGGCCUUCGGGUUGUAAAGCACCUUCAGUGGGGAAGAAAGCCUUGGGGCUAAUACCCUCGAGGAAGGACAUCACCCACAGAAGAAGCACCGGCUAACUCCGUGCCAGCAGCCGCGGUAAUACGGAGGGUGCGAGCGUUAAUCGGAAUUACUGGGCGUAAAGCGCGCGUAGGCGGUCUGAUAAGCCGGUUGUGAAAGCCCCGGGCUCAACCUGGGAACGGCAUCCGGAACUGUCAGGCUAGAGUGCAGGAGAGGAAGGUAGAAUUCCCGGUGUAGCGGUGAAAUGCGUAGAGAUCGGGAGGAAUACCAGUGGCGAAGGCGGCCUUCUGGACUGACACUGACGCUGAGGUGCGAAAGCGUGGGUAGCAAACAGGAUUAGAUACCCCAGUAGUC
rnacentral:rRNA from 1 species